GAUGAACGCUAGCUGCAGGCUUACCAAAUGCAAGUAGAGGGACCGGCGCAAGGGUGAGUAACACGUAUCCAACCUGCCCUUUACUAGGGGAUAGACUUUAGAAAGAAAGAUUAAUACCCGAUAUAAGGGAUGGGGAUGCGUUGCAUUGGGUUGUGGGUGAGGUAACGGCCCACCAAGACUUCGAUGGAUAGGGGUUAGGAGAGGAAGGUCCCCCACAUUGGAACUGUGCCACGUUUCAAACUCCUACGGGAGGCAGCAGGGAGGAAUAAUGGUCAAUAGGCGUUACCCUGAAACAGCCAAGUAGCGUGAAGGAUGAACGCUUAUGGGUCGUAAACUUCUUUUAUAUAAGAAGAUGUAUUAUAUGAAUAAGGAUCGGCUAACUCCGUGCCAGCAGCCGCGGUAAUUC
rnacentral:rRNA from 1 species